AACGAACGCUGGCGGCAUGCCUAACACAUGCAAGUCGAACGCCUGUAGCAAUACAGGCGUGGCAGACGGGUGCAAAACGCGUGGAAACCUAUCCUUGGGUUCGGAAUAACCGCGGGAAACUGCGGCUAAUACCGGAUACGUCCUUCGGGAGAAAGAUUUAUCGCCCGUUGAGGGGUCCGCGUCUGAUUAGCUAGUUGGUGGGGUAAUGGCUCACCAAGGCGACGAUCAGUAGCUGGUCUGAGAGGAUGAUCAGCCACACUGGAACUGAGACACGGUCCAGACUCCUACGGGAGGCAGCAGUGGGGAAUAUUGGACAAUGGGCGCAAGCCUGAUCCAGCAAUGCCGCGUGGGUGAUGAAGGCCUUCGGGUUGUAAAUCCCUUUUGGCGGGGACGAUGAUGACGGUACCCGCCGAAUAAGCUCCGGCUAACUUCGUGCCAGCCGCCGCCGUAACAC
rnacentral:rRNA from 1 species